GUCUAAAACGACCAAGCUAUAACUGCUUGUCUAUUAUCCAAGAGGUAAACUUUGCGCAUGCAUGAAUGCAACGUGCACAUUUUAUGGAGGGGUCAAGGAUGACCCUUGG
rnacentral:misc_RNA from 1 species